UGGCGAACGGGUGAGUAACACGUGGGUGAUCUGCCCUGCACUUCGGGAUAAGCCUGGGAAACUGGGUCUAAUACCAGAUAGGACGAUGGUUUGGAUGCCAUUGUGGAAAGUUUUUCGGUGUGGGAUGAGCUCGCGGCCUAUCAGCUUGUUGGUGGGGUAAUGGCCUACCAAGGCGUCGACGGGUAGCCGGCCUGAGAGGGUGUACGGCCACAUUGGGACUGAGAUACGGCCCAG
rnacentral:rRNA from 1 species